ensembl:lncRNA
AAACCUGGGCUUCCAUACCACCUCAGCAGUGCCCCAAACUGAUCACCUCCAUGCCACGCCGAAUUGAGGCAGUAAUUAAAGCAAAAGGAGCCCCUACCAAGUAUUGAGUACAUGUACAGUAAAUGAACAUACUUUCCAGAAGGCCAACAAUUCACUAAAAAUGUUUUUUUUUUUUUAUUAGUCUUAUGAAGUAAUCUAAUUUGUUGAGUGAAUUAGUGGGUUUAUAAUUACAGAAAUAAAUGAACUUUUCCACGACAUUCUAAUUUAUUGAGAUGCACCUAUAUAUAUAUAUAUAUAUAUAUAUAUAUAUAUAUAUAUAUAUAUAUAUAUAUAUAUAUAUAUAUAUAUAUAUAAACGUACACACAUUUAUAUAUGAUCUAAGACUGGUAGAAUUAUCUAGUGUUGCAGUUUUUUACACAUAAGGAAUUCUUGCCCAAAGCAGUCUUCAUAUAUUUGUUUCAACCCUGGCACUAGACAGGUACUGAAAAUCAGUAAUAGCAUAGCAAGUUCAAUAUUAUUCAAAGGUUGAGAGGAGGUCAGGCUGUUCAAACGCUCUGUCUGAAACUACAUAGCACGUUGCCGCAUGAUUUUUUAUGGAAGAAGAUAAAGGAUUUUUAAUUGUGAAGAGUCAUUGCCUGGAGAGUUCUGUUCAAAAGGGGGCACACUGCUGAGGUCAGUUUUAUCAGAUGCAGAAUGCACAAUAUGUUAAUUUCAAGUGAGCGGUUUGGAUGAAAAUGUCAUGGCACUGUUCCUCUCAUAUUUUUGCUACAGCUGCAGAAUUUGGAUUUGCCUCAUCUGUGAAGUUUGCAUCAUUUAUUCUGUUAUUUUCCAGUUUAAUACCGUGAACAAUCUCUACUGUAUAAAGCAGUAUAAAAAUAAAUGUGGCUUGAUUUGACUUGAAAUGCUUACAGAAAUGUCUUUUUCCUGUUUUUCCUCCCGUCCUGUAUCCAACAUCAUCAAUAGACUCAAGCACCAUCUAGGGAUUCUAAAGAUGGAUGUUCUUCAGGGGCCAGACCUGAAAAUUCCUUCAGAAAAAAAUCCAAACCUUUGGAAGUGUCUCUCUCGAGUUCUGGCAUCAGGCAGGAUCAGCCGCAGCAGAGAGAUGGAGAAGCUCGUCCUUCGCCUGUAACAUGAGCCCUCACAUUCUCUCAGCUCUUCUCUCGAUCUGAAGACACAUGUAUCUACUCAGCAGUGUGCAGGGAACAUGUUGUGCAGCUUUUGUUUUAUAUUUUCAGUUUUUAUUUUAAUUUUAGUUUUAGUAAUUUUGUUAUGCCCUUUUGCCAUUUUUAUUAGUUUUUGUUUGAUUUUUUUUUUUAAUUUACCUUAGUAAAUUCAUUUACCUUUGUAGUAUUUCAGCGUAAACAUUUUAUUUUAGUUAGAUGUUUUAUUUAUAUUAUUAUUUUUAUUAUUAUUAUUAUUAUUUUAAGUUUAAGAUUUAUUUAUUUGAGCUUUAUUUAAAUUAAUGAAACGUUUCAUGGUUGUGAGUUUUUUGUUAUAUUUUCAUGAAUUUGUUUGAUGAAAAGAUGGUGCUGUCUCAGAUCUGCCCAUAUUCUUUGUUUUAGGUAAUAAUAAUUUGCUGGUUAUGUAGUAACUCUCAAGUUUUAUUUAACAUUAUCAGGUUAAACAAGCUACAUAUUGUAUGAAAGCCUCUGUAUUUGAUCUGUGAUUUGCUUGACAAUUUUGAUGUCAGGGCAGCAGGCAUAAAGACAAGGUUAGAGUUUUCACAGGCUUACAUAAACUUUCUCAUCAAAUAUCCACUAUUAGUAUGCACCAAUAAUCUCCAACAAUAUAACGUGAUGUGCCAUCUAGAGUGUAAUCACUAACAUUAGAAAAUUGCGGAAUCAUAUCACUCAGUACCACCAUCAUUAUCCUGAUUAAAAUAAUGGUGCAAUUUAUAUGAGCUGUGAAUGUCCUCUUGAGCCCUGUUAAGUUGUAUUGUUGUAUUUUUUCGGCUGUGAUUUUACCCCAGCUUUGAAUCUACAAGGUCAAGCAAUGGGUAUGAAAUGUUGUCAAAAUUCAGUAUGAUUAAAAAUAUCAGAGACAUGAGAGACAGCAACACUGCCUGUGUGGCCUCGUAACAUAACCUUCUAGUUUUGGUGGAGUGUUUAUCAAAAAAAAAAAAAAAAAACAUGUAGACCUUUACUAAUUUUCACAAACAGCAUCAUAAGCAUCUGCAUGCAUAUACUUAUGGCUGGAUACCAAACAGAGUCAUAUCCCUGUGUUAUUGUGGGCCAAGUUAGAACUAAUAAAUCAGACAAACCCAUUUGGAGACCCCAAAUCUGGAAAAGGAACUAAAUUGGAUCUUAAGCAAGAUAAGAUUGACCAUUUAUCUAAGACAGCACCUAACAAAGACUACAGAAGGAACGAUUUUUGGGUGAGUAAAUAGAAACUUGUAGUUCAAGGUGUUUUCUUGGCCACAGAUCACAGUCUGUUAAAGUUUCUACAAAGAAAAAUAGAGCCCAUUACAUACGAACCAGCAUGCCUAACAACAAGACAAAAACUGCAAAAAAUAAAUAAAUAACAAAAAAAAAUAAACUGAUGUAAUAUCAAACCUUUAGUUCUCUGAGGUAAUUUCUACUACAACAGAUAAUUGCAAUGCAAAUUGGCGGCAUUUGCAUUUGUGUGAAAAGAAAGAGAGCAAGUUUAUGGUAAGAUACAAGAGAUGUGAACUUAGCAUGAUUA